GUGCUGACGAGUGGCGGACGGGUGAGUAAUGCAUAGGAAUCUGCCUUGUGGCGGGGGACAACCUGGUGAAAACCAGGCUAAUACCGCAUACGCCCUACGGGGGAAAGCGGGGGAUCUUCGGACCUCGCGCUAAUAGAUGAGCCUGCGUUAGAUUAGCUUGUUGGUGGGGUAAAGGCCUACCAAGGCAACGAUCUGUAGCUGGUCUGAGAGGACGACCAGCCACACUGGGACUGAGACACGGCCCAGACUCC
rnacentral:rRNA from 1 species